CCCUUAGAUGUUCUGGGCCGCACGCGCGCUACACUGAUGCAUCCAACGAGUGUACCUUGGCCGAGAGGCCUGGGCAAUCUUUUGAACGUGCAUCGUGAUAGGGAUAGAUUAUUGCAAUUAUUAAUCUUGAACGAGGAAUUCCUAGUAAACGCAGUUCAUCAAACUGCAUUGAUUACGUCCCUGCCCUUUGUACACACCGCCCGCCGCACCUACCGAUUGGAUGGUCCGGUGAAGCCUCGGGAUUGUGGCGGUUGCCUUUAUUGGUGGCCGCCGCGAGAACUUGUCUAAACCUUAUCAUCUAGAGGAAGGUGAAGUCGUAACA
rnacentral:rRNA from 1 species